rnacentral:rRNA from 1 species
UACGUAGGGUGCAAGCGUUUAAUCGGAAUUACUGGGCGUAAAGCGUGCGCAGGCGGUUUUGUAAGUCUGACGUGAAAUCCCCGGGCUCAACCUGGGAAUUGCGUUGGAGACUGCAAGGCUAGAAUCUGGCAGAGGGGGGUAGAAUUCCACGUGUAGCAGUGAAAUGCGUAGAGAUGUGGAGGAACGCCGAUGGCGAAGGCAGCCCCCUGGGUCAAGAUUGACGCUCAUGCACGAAAGCGUGGGGAGCAA